GUGUGUGUGUGCGUGUUCCUUAACGCUCCAUCGUCGGGGCACGGGUUUGGGAAUCGUGGACGUCGCGCCUUCGUGGUUUAGAAGCGCCGAGAGGAGCCCGUGUCUAAUAUUAAAUCGUUUCUAUUUUUGGCGGGGGGGGGGGGGUUAAAACAAAAGGUACAAAUAAAGCCGUCCCGGCAAGCGACAGGGAAGAGAGUGGCUGUGUCAUGCGAUCAGCCCUUCAACCUUCCACACACACAGCCCGCCCACAAGGGGCCCAAUCAAGCCCCACUGACAGGCCAAAUUACAUUAGACUCCUUGUAGCUAGCGCAAAUUACGCUGGCUGGGACGCUCCUCGGAGAGUGAUUAGGGAGCGGGAGAAGAGCAUGAGUGCAGGCGGUUCUUCUAAUUAUCACCGGAUUGGCGAGGGAUAAAGAGAGAGGGACUAAGUCGUAGGCAGAGGGAACGCGUGAAGGCCUCAAGCCUGGACUCGGCUUGGAGUGGGAAGUCUUCGGGGCAACGCGCCACCCGCGCCUGCGAUUUUAAGGUUGUUUCUUUUAUUUUGUGUGCAAGCGUCAACUCCCGGAGUGAUGCGACGUUAUGUUGUGUUCAAAACACGUUCGAAAAAUCUUGAGUCAAGGGCGUUUGUGGAA